GGGGGAAUAGCUCAGUGGUAGAGCGCUGGAUUCCAGUCCCAGCGGUCGGGGGUUCGAUCCCCUCUUUCCUCA
rnacentral:tRNA from 1 species